UACAGGGGGCAAGCGUUGUUCGGAAUUACUGGGCGUAAAGGGCUCGUAGGCGGCCAACUAAGUCACACGUGAAAUCCCCAGGCUUAACCUGGGAACUGCGUGUGAUACUGGAUGGCUUGAAUUCGGGAGAGGGAUGCAGAAUUCCAGGUGUAGCGGUGAAAUGCGUAGAUAUCUGGAGGAAUACCGGUGGCGAAGGCGGCAUCCUGGACCGAUAUACGCUGAGGAGCGAAAGCCUGGAGGGAGCAAACGGGG
rnacentral:rRNA from 1 species